AGAGAUGUGUGAUGACGCAUAUCAAUAAGCGGAGGAAAAGAAACUAACAAGGAUUCCCUUAGUAACGGCGAGUGAAGCGGGAAGAGCUCAAAUUUGAAAUCUUCAAGGUUCUACCUUGACGAAUUGUAGUUUAAAGAAGUGUUUUCUGUUGGAGUUUUGGUAAAAGUUCUUUGGAAUAGGACAUCAUAGAGGGUGAGAAUCCCGUAUUUGACCAUUACUUUCCAGCUGUGUGAUACACUUUCAAAGAGUCGGAUUGUUUGGGAAUGCAGUCCAAAAUGGGUGGUAAAUUUCAUCUAAAGCUAAAUAUUGGCGAGAGACCGAUAGCGAACAAGUACCGUGAGGUAAAGGUGAAAAGAACUUUGAAAAGAGAGUUAAACAGUACGUGAAAUUGUCAAAAGGGAAGCGUUUGACACCAGUGUUGUUUUUCCGAAAAUCAAUUACGAAUGUUUUGUUUUUGAGGAGUUAUGACUUCAUCGGCUUGCUUCUUUCUUUACGAAACUUUCUUAAUGCACUUUUCGGUUAACAAGUCAACAUCAAUUUCUUUUGUUGUAAAAGAGUCAUGAGGAAGGUGGCUUUCUUUUCGGAGAAAGUGUUUAUAGCCUUGUGACCUCUGCAAUCGGAGAGAUUGAGGUUUGCAGCGUAGAUCCUUCGGGGUUAGAUACAUUUGUGCUAAGUUAUAGCUUUUCAUAGACAACUUGUUGACUAUGUUAAGUCUUGUAGCUUACUCGCUUAUGCUAUUUUACCUACGCUUAGGAUGUUGAAGAUGUAGCACAUCAU
rnacentral:rRNA from 1 species